AAAUCCACAAUCAUCACUAGUAUUGUACCACUACCACUACCACAACAACAACCACACUAAGAAGAGUGUGAGCUACCAAGAUUGAGGAGUAUGGUUGUGUAACAUUAGGGUAGACACUAAAAGGAGUGUUGUACCAAUAUUGUGAUAGUGAAUAAAGUUUUACUCCUAGUUCUUAUAAGUUUGAUAUCCCAAAGUAGUGUAGGUGCACGAAGGUCCUCAAGAGUAGGUGUUAGGGUCACGGCCCGAAAAACUCUACACGAGCCAUCCUUGCAUGAGGGCUGAUUGCUAGGAAUUCGCACGUAAAGCAUUCGACUUCUGUUCCUCUCGAUGUCUGACGUCAGAGCAGACGGGUAGCGUACCUAUUCUUUAGUAUUUUUAGGAUUUAGGGAAUUUGUAGGGUAGAUUUUUUAGGAUGGACUUAUUCGGUCUUUUCCACCCCUGUGCACUGCCCAAUGCCCAGACCGAUCUUCAGGUGCGCCGCCCCCAGAUCAGAUCUCCAGGAGCACCGCCCCUAGUCUGAUCUUCAGGACCGCCGCCAUCUGCUCGCUGACCGGAUCCUCGGCCUGCUGGCCUUUCUCAGUGCGCCAGAUGUACCCUCGCCGCCUGCACCGGUUCGCCUGCACAACCGUCUGCCCUCUGAGUUCCAUAGACAGUAGGACCUGUAGAUGUUAAGUGUGCUGUCUAUUUUCAGCUGAGAUUACAUAGAAACAUUACAUUGAUUGUAGGUUGUUCUUUUAUUGAUUGUAGUUGUGACAGUAUGAAAUUUCAUCUUUUAUCUCCUUAUUAAUGAUGGAACAAAUCUGCUAAUGGUCAGUUGAUCAGGCAGUAUGCAGUAGAUGCCUUCAGUGAUACCAAAGGUGACCUAUUUGUUCUCAAAUAUGCACUCUUGUUGGAGGAACAAUAAAUUCCUUAAUUUAUCUACUUCACUCUGAAUGAUAUUAGAACCCGAUUCUGCUCAUUGCUUUUAUUUAAAAGAAGCUUGUAUGUAAAAUAAGUGAGGUAGACUUGUUGAUAGUAUCAAUCUGUAGCUAGCUUGAAUACCAGUUUUGCAGAUGCCUUAACUCACAUUGUAUAUUAGUAUAUUAUGAAUGUGAUGAGAACUUGACUUUGUAGUAUAGAUUCUUUGGGUAAUGUCAGAACACUAUUUAGUCUUAUUUCUUAUUUACUUGUGAAAUGCCAG
rnacentral:lncRNA from 1 species